rnacentral:lncRNA from 1 species
GCCAAACACCUCUUCAAGUAAAUGUCUUCUUCCACCCUUUCAAAUAUCUUAAAUCGAUUCAGUUUUAGGUAGAUAUCAUUACCUCUUUUGAACCAUACUUUUAUCACUAGUUCAAUCCAACUGCAACUCGUUCCUUCAUGGUAUGACUCGUUCCUUCAUGGUAUGCCUCGUUAGUUUGUGUUGUAGAAUUGCUCUGUCUCUUCCACCAGCGCUCAGCAUCGGUAACACGGAAGUCAUCACUUUAUCAUAAAGUCACAUAUGCGUCCUGUAGAUAUGUUU